rnacentral:rRNA from 1 species
AACGUAGGAGGCGAGCGUUAUCCGGAGUUACUGGGCGUAAAGCGCGUGUAGGUGGCUUGUUGCGUCUGCUGUGAAAGCUUCCGGCUUAACCGGGACUAUGCGGUAGAUACGGGCAAGCUCGAGGGUGACAGAGGAGCGUAGAAUUCCGGGUGUAGUGGUGAAAUGCGUAGAUAUGCGGAGGAACACCGAUGGCGAAGGCAAUCCCCUGGGCCUGUACUGACGCUCAUGCACGAAAGCGUGGGGAGCAAACAGG